AAGAUGGCUGCAGAGAUGGUAGCCGCUUUCUGCUAGGAGUCGGCUCCCAACAGUCCAGGGCCAGGAGGAGAGUAGAUUUCAUCAAGGAAGCCCCCAGGGGUCACAGGCAGAAGAAAUGGUGGAGAAGGACAAGGCCUGCCAGAGCCACAAUUGCCAUGCUCAGGCUGGGCAGAGUCCCUUCAAGAUCGGGCUGAGAUACUGAGAUUCUGUUUCAAACAAAAACAGAAAUAAAGAGAAAGAGAGGAAAGAAAGAAAGAAAGAAAGAAAGAAAGAAAGAAAGGAAGGAAGAAAGGAAGAAAGGAAGAAAGGAAGGAAGGAAGAAACAAAGAAG
rnacentral:lncRNA from 1 species